rnacentral:rRNA from 1 species
GAUGAACGCUGGCGGCGUGCCUAAUACAUGCAAGUCGAGCGAACGGACGAGAAGCUUGCUUCUCUGAUGUUAGCGGCGGACGGGUGAGUAACACGUGGAUAACCUACCUAUAAGACUGGGAUAACUUCGGGAAACCGGAGCUAAUACCGGAUAAUAUUUUGAACCGCAUGGUUCAAAAGUGAAAGACGGUCUUGCUGUCACUUAUAGAUGGAUCCGCGCUGCAUUAGCUAGUUGGUAAGGUAACGGCUUACCAAGGCAACGAUGCAUAGCCGACCUGAGAGGGUGAUCGGCCACACUGGAACUGAGACACGGUCCAGACUCCUACGGGAGGCAGCAGUAGGGAAUCUUCCGCAAUGGGCGAAAGCCUGACGGAGCAACGCCGCGUGAGUGAUGAAGGUCUUCGGAUCGUAAAACUCUGUUAUUAGGGAAGAACAUAUGUGUAAGUAACUGUGCACAUCUUGACGGUACCUAAUCAGAAAGCCACGGCUAACUACGUGCCAGCAGCCGCGGUAAUACGUAGGUGGCAAGCGUUAUCCGGAAUUAUUGGGCGUAAAGCGCGCGUAGGCGGUUUUUUAAGUCUGAUGUGAAAGCCCACGGCUCAACCGUGGAGGGUCAUUGGAAACUGGAAAACUUGAGUGCAGAAGAGGAAAGUGGAAUUCCAUGUGUAGCGGUGAAAUGCGCAGAGAUAUGGAGGAACACCAGUGGCGAAGGCGACUUUCUGGUCUGUAACUGACGCUGAUGUGCGAAAGCGUGGGGAUCAAACAGGAUUAGAUACCCUGGUAGUCCACGCCGUAAACGAUGAGUGCUAAGUGUUAGGGGGUUUCCGCCCCUUAGUGCUGCAGCUAACGCAUUAAGCACUCCGCCUGGGGAGUACGACCGCAAGGUUGAAACUCAAAGGAAUUGACGGGGACCCGCACAAGCGGUGGAGCAUGUGGUUUAAUUCGAAGCAACGCGAAGAACCUUACCAAAUCUUGACAUCCUUUGACAACUCUAGAGAUAGAGCCUUCCCCUUCGGGGGACAAAGUGACAGGUGGUGCAUGGUUGUCGUCAGCUCGUGUCGUGAGAUGUUGGGUUAAGUCCCGCAACGAGCGCAACCCUUAAGCUUAGUUGCCAUCAUUAAGUUGGGCACUCUAAGUUGACUGCCGGUGACAAACCGGAGGAAGGUGGGGAUGACGUCAAAUCAUCAUGCCCCUUAUGAUUUGGGCUACACACGUGCUACAAUGGACAAUACAAAGGGCAGCGAAACCGCGAGGUCAAGCAAAUCCCAUAAAGUUGUUCUCAGUUCGGAUUGUAGUCUGCAGCUCGACUACAUGAAGCUGGAAUCGCUAGUAAUCGUAGAUCAGCAUGCUACGGUGAAUACGUUCCCGGGUCUUGUACACACCGCCCGUCACACCACGAGAGUUUGUAACACCCGAAGCCGGUGGAGUAACCUUUUAGGAGCUAGCCGUCGAAGGUGGGAC